rnacentral:rRNA from 1 species
GAUGAACGCUGGCGGCGUGCCUAAUACAUGCAAGUCGAGCGAACAGACGAGGAGCUUGCUCCUCUGACGUUAGCGGCGGACGGGUGAGUAACACGUGGAUAACCUACCUAUAAGACUGGGAUAACUUCGGGAAACCGGAGCUAAUACCGGAUAAUAUAUUGAACCGCAUGGUUCAAUAGUGAAAGACGGUUUUGCUGUCACUUAUAGAUGGAUCCGCGCCGCAUUAGCUAGUUGGUAAGGUAACGGCUUACCAAGGCAACGAUGCGUAGCCGACCGGAGAGGGUGAUCGGCCACACUGGAACUGAGACACGGUCCAGACUCCUACGGGAGGCAGCAGUAGGGAAUGUUCCGCAAUGGGCGAAAGCUUGACGGAGCAACGCCGCGUGAGUGAUGAAGGUCUUCGGAUCGUAAAACUCUGUUAUUAGGGAAGAACAAAUGUGUAAGUAACUAUGCACGUCUUGACGGUACCUAAUCAGAAAGCCACGGCUAACUACGUG